AGAAACAGAGGGAGUAAUAUCCUGAAGGCGCACCACACUAAACCUGUCGGAAGGAAAACUACACCAACACAGUCUAGGAAAUCCAAACCACCAAACAAGUGAAAAUCCCUAAUAAAACCCUAUUUCUCAAACAUACAUUAUCCUGUACAAGCUGCUUGAUCAACUAUACAAGUGCAAAUCCCACUGCGUACUUGUAAGUGUAUUCCGGCCUGUGUAAAUAUCAGUAUUCCUCUGUAAUUGUCAUAUUUUAUAUGCAUAACUCUUGUAUCUAUCUUCCUUGAAUACUGAAAAUUAGGUAAAUUAGAAUGCCUGACUUGAUUUCUUGACAUUGUAUGUUUACUCUGUAUUAUUCGUUCCCAAUUAAAAUUAGGUAAAUUAGAAUGCCUGACUUGAUUUCUUGACAUUGUAUGUUUACUCUGUAUUAUUCGUUCCCAAUUAAAAUUAGGUAAAUUAGAAUGCCUGACUUGAUUUCUUGACAUUGUAUGUUUACUCUGUAUUAUUCGUUCCCAAUUUACUGGUUCAAUAGAUAAAUGUGUUCGGGAGAAGCAGAUGACAGCAGAUAAAUGGCUUGCUAUCAUUUUUAGUGCUAAAGUGUAAAUGAAACUAAAUUCACACAAACCUAAUCAUUUUAAACUGAAUUUAAGUUAAAACGGAACCCAUUAUUGGUUCUUUUGCCGUUUCAAAGCCAUAUCGAGCAGUAAUUAACCGAGCUGAACCAUUUACUAAGUGAGUCUCAGUGAAAUAAUAAAUUUAUACAAGUUUUUAAGUUAUCAGGUGAUGUAUUCUAACAUGAUAGGAAUAAAUUUUACAGUUUAUAUCUACGUUUAACAAAGACAAGGCUGCUGAUUAUGUUUAAUCUAUAAGUAGUUGUGUUAUUCUGACCUUGAUUAUUCAUAUUCACCUAUUUCAGUGAAAGGGUAGUGAUUUGAUUGAUCUCAAUGUUUAGAUUAAGUCUUCAUUGCAAAUGGUGUUGAUCAAUACUUCAAUAGCAAACGUUUCAGUUUAAAGAUUCAGUUCCAACUACUUUUAUAAUCAGAAUGUUGUAUACUGCAUUCCAGUGACUUGCAAAGAUUAUUUAUAAGAUAAUUUGUAUCCGUCUUGUGUGUAAAUUUACAUCUGGAUAUAAUAUUUUUAAAGAUAUUUUUAGAUAGAAAUUGAACAUUCUUGAAUGAACCAAUUAUUUUAAAACCUAUCAGUUUGGUUGGGUUUGGUUUUUUUUUUAGAACUGAGGUUCUAUGGUCACCCUUACUUUUAGUAUAUAACAAAGAAAUAAAGGGGGUGGUGUUGCUGCUUGCCACGAUCUUGACAUUUACAUAGGAAUUUUGAAUUUGCAUCAUAAUUGCCACACAUUUAUCAACAUAUUUCCAGUGUAUCCUAUAUGGCUAUGUAUCAUAAGCAUAAGAGGGAAUGUCGAAAGCUUAUGGACUUGUUAGGUCUAUAUUUAAUACUAGUUGAAGGUCCAGAUUUAUAAUUUUAAUAUUUAUAAGAAAGGUCUUGAGUUGAUUUUUGUUAAAAACAGAAAAUUAACCUAGUAUUUUUUAUUUUUUUAGUUAAUGGUAAUGGUAGAAUAAUUUGACAACUAUAAAAAGAUUUGGUACAUAUAGUAAGAGAGUAGAAGAGCUCAAUGCUUGACAAUUACAUGUAUUUAGUAAACUGUAAUGCACUUAUAAUGAAUAUAUUUGAAACUUGUACAAAAGUUCGUGCAUUGCAUAUCUUUUUAAUUAAAAUAAGAUAAUAUAAAGAGAAAAAACAUUAUGUUGUGUUAUGUAGAAUCGAGCCUUAGAUUUUAAGUAGAAUUUCAAUAUUCCUCAUACUUUUAAAAGUUAUUUUAUUUUUAUAAUAUCGAGAUAUCCACACAUUAACUUUUGGUAGUACUUUCGGUAUGAUAUUUUUUACUAUGCAAACUUUGACCUCUGUCUAAUUUUGCUAAUAAAUGGAGAAGUAGAUGUGGUGGCAUCAUUAUAAAUUACUAGGGGGAAAAGUUGGUUGUACUUUAUUAACCAAUUUGUACUUAGAGACGAUUAAGGUCCAACAAAUGUAAAUAAAGACAUAUGCUGGACUCUUGACCUUAGUUAUAUAUAGUUGAACUGGACAUCAACAAUGAUUGAACUGAAUGAAAAUAAUGUUAAAUCAUUGAAAUAUUUACUUGUUAUUUUAAGUGUCAAAUGGUGAACCCUAAAGUAACUUUUACAAUUAUAUGUGACUUAAUAAGUUUAACUACAUAUGUUUGUACAUAUAUAAGUGAGGUUCAUCAUGCAGCUGUUGAACCUUAGCCGUCUGUGUUAAACUGUAGGUUUAUGUUCCUUAUUGUACAAACAAAGAAUACAUAAAAGAACAGUGCAAUUUAAUCAAAGAUAUUACUAAUUAAUUUGAUAUUUCUAUAUUGUCAGUCUGAAUAUUUAACGAUGGAAUCAUGGCCAUUAGAAUGUUUUUAAGUAAAUGUGACUAAUAUGAGAAUAAUCUUAUCACAAAAACCACUAAUUUGGUGUGGCAAAAAAAAAAAAAAAAAAAAAACCACUAAUUUGGUAUUGUUCUUGUUAGCUAGGGGCUGAGGGCAAAAAAGGCUAGAAUAGGGAUUAGUGACUCGGGUUGACCUAGCAAUGCAGUUUGUAAAAUUUUGUGUGUGAUUACUAUAUUAUAGUUUGAUUAUAUAUCUGGAUGAUCUGAAUUUUAAAGCUAUUUGCACUCAAAUCGCAAUUAAUCUUCUGUGUAUGUUUAUAUUAAUAUGAACUGCCACCCGGAUCCGGUCUACUUCUCGUUUACAUUAGAUAGAUAAUUACAGUAUUGAUUGCCAGAAAAGAAUUGGGGACGGGUAUAACUCCUUUUUUUGACCCUGCACUGCGUUCUUAUUUGCGGUUUUGGGAUAGUGUGAUGGGUAUGAGAAGGAUCCUGCUGCAGAAAUAUAUAUAUUUUGCAAAUUGUGGUGUUGAUGAAAUAUACGCGAAACUGAAUAUUGACUUUAAACAGUUGUUUUCGCAAUCUUUCUCGUUGAUAAUAUACUAGCUUCAUAUUUAGUCUGUCCUCAUGUAUGUACAAAAACUGAUCCCUCACAAAAAUUCGGGGAUGCAGUAACAGUCUAUCUAAUAUACAGUUCUGUUGGGAAAGAACUAGUGGUUGAGCACAUUGAGAAUUAAUACUCGUGUCUUGAUCAAUGAUCGGACUAGACAGUCUAAUUGUUCUUCACAUUCUUGCAUAUUCAUGUCCAAUGCCGUCAGACAUUUCUGAACGUCUUGUGUUUGUGUUAUAUCACUUUUUUUGCUUGAUUUCUUGCUGAUAGCUUCUAAAGCCAUAUCCAUGUUGUGAACUUGGUUGAUAAUUUCUUCUGUGUCCUCUUCACAAUGUACACGCUUGGACUGUGUUGACUUGAAAACCUUUGACCAUGUGCUUUUUGUCGAUGCUUCCUUUGCAGGACAGAUGGAUGAGAAGAUAGACUCGAAAACUGAGAUGCUGACUUCUUCGACUUCCCUUAGAAGGCUCACGAUAGCAGGAGUCUCGAUGCUUUUGUUAAUUUUGGACUUCUUAGAACCAGCAAAGCACUUGGAGAGCAUUCUGUUUGCCUUUUUCUUACAUACCAGGUAGCUUGCGAUUCUGCUUGAUACAUCAGUUUGUCUUCUACGUAGAGAGGAUUCUAGAUCUUGAACUGAAUCUCUCAUAUGCGAGAGAGCAUCUUUUGAGGUGCUGCACUGAUCCAAUAACCUAAUGGACCCGCAAAGAUAUCUUCUCCGCAGCUCAAACGAUCUUGCUGUGCGGCUUGCGAUUGGAUCAAAUCUUCUACACACUCAUAUAAGUCCUUGAAGAGCGGAUAAUUUGUCGCAUUUGGAUACUGUCGAUGAGGAUGUCCCUUCCGGGGUCCUUAAUCUGCGCAAGUGCUCCUCAACAGUGGCUGUCAAGAGAUGAGAUCUGGAUGGUAAGCUGAUGGAACGAGAAUGAGCACUAACUUUUGUGGUUGCAAUUGAGGCUGCCAUUUUUAUUUGCAGGAGGAAUUAGAUGCCAAUGAAAAUCCUGAACUCAAGGUUUGUUUGAUUGAACUCUCACCUUGGCACCUUUUUAUAAACUAUGAGGAGACAAAAGGAAUCAACUUAAUUUCCUUCAUGUGCCGAACAGAGAAACAGGCCAAGGUAACUAGGGGCUGAGGGCAAAACAGGCUAGAAUAGGGAUUAGUGACUCGGGUUGACCUAGCAAUGCAGUUUGUAAAAUUUUGUGUGUGAUUACUAUAUUAUAGUUUGAUUAUAUAUCUGGAUGAUCUGAAUUUUAAAGCUAUUUGCACUCAAAUCGCAAUUAAUCUUCUGUGUAUGUUUAUAUUAAUAUGAAUUGCCACCCGGAUCCGGUCUACUUCUAGUUUACAUUAGAUAGAUAAUUACAGUAUUGAUUGCGAGAAAAGAAUUGGGGACGGGUAUAACUCCUUUUUUUGACCCUGCACUGCGUUCUUAUUUGCGGUUUUGGGAUAUGUGAUGGGUAUGAGAAGGAUCCUGUUGCAGAAAUAUAUAUAUUUUGCAAAUUGUGUUGUUGAUGAAAUAUACGCGAAACCGAAUAUUGACUUUAAACAGUUGUUUUCGCAAUCUUUCUCGUUGAUAAUAUACUAGCUUCACAUACAGUCUGUACUCAUGUAUGUACAAAAACUGAUCCCUCACAAAAAUUCGGGGAUGCAGUAAUAGUCUAUCUAAUAGACAAUUCUGUUGGAAAAGAACUAGUGGUUGAGCACAUUGAGAAUUAAUACUCGUGUCUUGAUCAAUGAUCGGACUAGACAGUCUAAUUGUUCUUCACAUUCUUGCAUAUUCAUGUCCAAUGCCGUCAGACAUUUCUGAACGUCUUCUGUUUCUGUGAUAUCACUUUUUUUGCUUGAUUUCUUGCUGAUAGCUUCUAAAGCCAUAUCCAUGUUGUGAACUUGGUUGAUAAUUUCUUCUGUGUCCUCUUCACAAUGUACACGCUUGGACUGUGUUGACUUGAAAACCUUUGACCAUGUGCUUUUUGUCGAUGCUUCCUUUGCAGGACAGAUGGAUGAGAAGAUAGACUCGAAAACUGAGAUGCUGACUUCUUCGACUUCCCUUAGAAGGCUCACGAUAGCAGGAGUCUCGAUGCUUUUGUUAAUUUUGGACUUCUUAGAACCAGCAAAGCACUUGGAGAGCAUUCUGUUUGCCUUUUUCUUACAUACCAGGUAGCUUGCGAUUCUGCUUGAUACAUCAGUUUGUCUUCUACGUAGAGAGGAUUCUAGAUCUUGAACUGAAUCUCUCAUAUGCGAGAGAGCAUCUUUUGAGGUGCUGCACAGAUCCAAUAACCUAAUGGACCCGCAAAGAAUAUCUUCUCCGCAGCUCAAACGAUCUUGCUGUGCGGCUUGCGAUUGGAUCAAAUCUUCUACACACUCAUAUAAGUCUUGAAGAGCGGAUAAUUUGUCGCAUUUGGAUACUGUCGAUGAGGAUGCCCCUUCCGGGGUCCUUAAUCUGCACAAGUGCUCCUCAACAGUGGCUGUCAAGGGAUGAGAUCUGGAUGGUAAGCUGAUGGAACGAGAAUGAGCACUAACUUUUGUGGUUGCAAUUGAGGCUGCCAUUUUUAUUUGCAGGAGGAAUUAGAUGCCAAUGAAAAUCCUGAACUCAAGGUUUGUUUGAUUGAACUCUCACCUUGGCACCUUUUUAUAAACUAUGAGGAGACAAAAGGAAUCAACCUAAUUUCCUUCAUGUGCUGAACAGAGAAACAGGCCAAGUAUCAGAAAAUGCAGAUCUCAAUUGUAGCAGUGUCUGUGGGAGGAGGAACAUUUGCUUGGCACAAAAUAAUAUAAUAUGCAAGAAACCAGGCUGGCGUUCAUCUGCAAAUUUUGGUAAGUUUUCUAAUAUGAAAACAAGUUAAGACCAGGGGUAUAAUUUUGCAUCUCAUGUGUUAUAUAUUAAAGUUGUCUUGAAAUUCAUAUACAUUGCAUUAUUUUUUGCAUCUUGUUGUUAGACAUGUUGUAUAUUAUUGUUAAGUAAAACAGCGCAUGAAUGGCUUGGCAUUUUUUUUAUGCAUAGAAUUAGUGAGGGCCUUUAUUGCUCCAUUCGGUCUCUAGCGAUGCAGAGCUGAACACUUGAGAUCUGUCAUUAUGUGUACUGGGUAGACAGAAGGAAUCUGAACAGCCUGCAGUCAGUUUGCAAGAACCAUUAAGGUGUGACUAGGUGUCCUGGUAACUAGGGGCUGAGGGCAAAACAGGCUAGAAUAGGGAUUAGUGACUCGGGUUGACCGAGCAAUGCAGUUUGUAAAAUUUUGUGUGUGAUUACUAUAUUAUAGUUUGAUUAUAUAUCUGGAUGAUCUGAAUUUUAAAGCUACUUGCACUCAAAUCGCAAUUAAUCUUCUGUGUAUGUUUAUAUUAAUAUGAAUUGCCACCCGGAUCCGGUCUACUUCUAGUUCACAUUAGAUAGAUAAUUACAGUAUUGAUUGCCAGAAAAGAAUUGGGGACGGGUAUAACUCCUUUUUUUGACCCUGCACUGCGUUCUUAUCUGCGGUUUUGGGAUAGUGUGAUGGGUAUGAGAAGGAUCCUGCUGCAGAAAUAUAUAUAUUUUGCAAAUUGUGUUGUUGAUGAAAUAUACGCGAAACUGAAUAUUGACUUUAAACAGUUGUUUUCGCAAUCUUUCUCGUUGAUAAUAUACUAGCUUCAUAUACAGUCUGUCCUCAUGUAUGUACAAAAACUGAUCCCUCACAAAAAUUCGGGGAUGCAGUAACAGUCUAUCUAAUAUACAGUUCUGUUGGAAAAGAACUAGUGGUUGAGCACAUUGAGAAUUAAUACUCGUGUCUUGAUCAAUGAUCGGACUAGACAGUCUAAUUGUUCUUCACAUUCUUGCAUAUUCAUGUCCAAUGCCGUCAGACAUUUCUGAACGUCUUGUGUUUCUGUGAUAUCACUUUUUUUGCUUGAUUUCUUGCUGAUAGCUUCUAAAGCCAUAUCCAUGUUGUGAACUUGGUUGAUAAUUUCUUCUGUGUCCUCUUCACAAUGUACACGCUUGGACUGUGUUGACUUGAAAACCUUUGACCAUGUGCUUUUUGUCGAUGCUUCCUUUGCAGGACAGAUGGAUGAGAAGAUAGACUCGAAAACUGAGAUGCUGACUUCUUCGACUUCCCUUAGAAGGCUCACGAUAGCAGGAGUCUCGAUGCUUUUGUUAAUUUUGGACUUCUUAGAACCAGCAAAGCACUUGGAGAGCAUUCUGUUUGCCUUUUUCUUACAUACCAGGUAGCUUGCGAUUCUGCUUGAUACAUCAGUUUGUCUUCUACGUAGAGAGGAUUCUAGAUCUUGAACUGAAUCUCUCAUAUGCGAGAGAGCAUCUUUUGAGGUGCUGCACAGAUCCAAUAACCUAAUGGACCCGCAAAGAAUAUCUUCUCCGCAGCUCAAACGAUCUUGCUGUGCGGCUUGCGAUUGGAUCAAAUCUUCUACACACUCAUAUAAGUCUUGAAGAGCGGAUAAUUUGUCGCAUUUGGAUACUGUCGAUGAGGAUGUCCCUUCCGGGGUCCUUAAUCUGCACAAGUGCUCCUCAACAGUGGCUGUCAAGAGAUGAGAUCUGGAUGGUAAGCUGAUGGAACGAGAAUGAGCACUAACUUUUGUGGUUGCAAUUGAGGCUGCCAUUUUUAUUUGCAGGAGGAAUUAGAUGCCAAUGAAAAUCCUGAACUCAAGGUUUGUUUGAUUGAACUCUCACCUUGGCACCUUUUUAUAAACUAUGAGGAGACAAAAGGAAUCAACUUAAUUUCCUUCAUGUGCCGAACAGAGAAACAGGCCAAGUAUCAGAAAAUGCAGAUCUCAAUUGUAGCAGUGUCUGUGGGAGGAGGAACAUUUGCUUGGCACAAAAUAAUAUAAUAUGCAAGAAACCAGGCUGGCGUUCAUCUGCAAAUUUUGGUAAGUUUUCUAAUAUGAAAACAAGUUAAGACCAGGGGUAUAAUUUUGCAUCUCAUGUGUCAUAUAUUAAAGUUGUCUUGAAAUUCAUAUACAUUGCAUUAUUUUUUGCAUCUUGUUGUUAGACAUGUUGUAUAUUAUUGUUAAGUAAAACAGCGCAUGAAUGGCUUGGCAUUUUUUUUAUGCAUAGAAUUAGUGAGGGCCUUUAUUGCUCCAUUCGGUCUCUAGCGAUGCAGAGCUGAACACUUGAGAUCUGUCAUUAUGUGUACUGGGUAGACAGAAGGAAUCUGAACAGCCUGCAGUCAGUUUGCAAGAACCAUUAAGGUGUGACUAGGUGUCCUGGUAACUAGGGGCUGAGGGCAAAACAGGCUAGAAUAGGGAUUAGUGACUCGGGUUGACCUAGCAAUGCAGUUUGUAAAAUUUUGUGUGUGAUUACUAUAUUAUAGUUUGAUUAUAUAUCUGGAUGAUCUGAAUUUUAAAGCUAUUUGCACUCAAAUCGCAAUUAAUCUUCUGUGUAUGUUUAUAUUAAUAUGAAUUGCCACCCGGAUCCGGUCUACUUCUAGUUUACAUUAGAUAGAUAAUUACAGUAUUGAUUGCCAGAAAAGAAUUGGGGACGGGUAUAACUCCUUUUUUUGACCCUGCACUGCGUUCUUAUUUGCGGUUUUGGGAUAGUGUGAUGGGUAUGAGAAGGAUCCUGCUGCAGAAAUAUAUAUAUUUUGCAAAUUGUGUUGUUGAUGAAAUAUACGCGAAACUGAAUAUUGACUUUAAACAGUGAAACCAGGCUGGCGUUCAUCUGCAAAUUUUGGUAAGUUUUCUAAUAUGAAAAUAAGUUAAGACCAGGGGUAUAAUUUUGCAUCUCAUGUGUCAUAUAUUAAAGUUGUCUUGAAAUUCAUAUACAUUGCUUUAUUUUUUGCAUCUUGUUGUUAGACAUGUUGUAUAUUAUUGUUAAGUAAAACAGCGCAUGAAUGGCUUGGCAUUUUUUUUAUGCAUAGAAUUAGUGAGGGCCUUUAUUGCUCCAUUCGGUCUCUAGCGAUGCAGAGCUGAACACUUGAGAUCUGCCAUUAUGUGUACUGGGUAGACAGAAGGAAUCUGAACAGCCUGCAAUCAGUUUGCAAGAACCAUUAAGGUGUGACUAGGUGUCCUGGUAACUAGGGGCUGAGGGCAAAACAGGCUAGAAUAGGGAUUAGUGACUCGGGUUGACCUAGCAAUGCAGUUUGUAAAAUUUUGUGUGUGAUUACUAUAUUAUAGUUUGAUUAUAUAUCUGGAUGAUCUGAAUUUUAAAGCUAUUUGCACUCAAAUCGCAAUUAAUCUUCUGUGUAUGUUUAUAUUAAUAUGAACUGCCACCCGGAUCCGGUCUACUUCUCGUUUACAUUAGAUAGAUAAUUACAGUAUUGAUUGCCAGAAAAGAAUUGGGGACGGGUAUAACUCCUUUUUUUGACCCUGCACUGCGUUCUUAUCUGCGGUUUUGGGAUAGUGUGAUGGGUAUGAGAAGGAUCCUGCUGCAGAAAUAUAUAUAUUUUGCAAAUUGUGUUGUUGAUGAAAUAUACGCGAAACUGAAUAUUGACUUUAAACAGUUGUUUUCGCAAUCUUUCUCGUUGAUAAUAUACUAGCUUCAUAUACAGUCUGUCCUCAUGUAUGUACAAAAACUGAUCCCUCACAAAAAUUCGGGGAUGCAGUAACAGUCUAUCUAAUAUACAGUUCUGUUGGGAAAGAACUAGUGGUUGAGCACAUUGAGAAUUAAUACUCGUGUCUUGAUCAAUGAUCGGACUAGACAGUCUAAUUGUUCUUCACAUUCUUGCAUAUUCAUGUCCAAUGCCGUCAGACAUUUCUGAACGUCUUGUGUUUGUGUGAUAUCACUUUUUUUGCUUGAUUUCUUGCUGAUAGCUUCUAAAGCCAUAUCCAUGUUGUGAACUUGGUUGAUAAUUUCUUCUGUGUCCUCUUCACAAUGUACACGCUUGGACUGUGUUGACUUGAAAACCUUUGACCAUGUGCUUUUUGUCGAUGCUUCCUUUGCAGGACAGAUGGAUGAGAAGAUAGACUCGAAAACUGAGAUGCUGACUUCUUCGACUUCCCUUAGAAGGCUCACGAUAGCAGGAGUCUCGAUGCUUUUGUUAAUUUUGGACUUCUUAGAACCAGCAAAGCACUUGGAGAGCAUUCUGUUUGCCUUUUUCUUACAUACCAGGUAGCUUGCGAUUCUGCUUGAUACAUCAGUUUGUCUUCUACGUAGAGAGGAUUCUAGAUCUUGAACUGAAUCUCUCAUAUGCGAGAGAGCAUCUUUUGAGGUGCUGCACAGAUCCAAUAACCUAAUGGACCCGCAAAGAAUAUCUUCUCCGCAGCUCAAACGAUCUUGCUGUGCGGCUUGCGAUUGGAUCAAAUCUUCUACACACUCAUAUAAAUCUUGAAGGGCGG
rnacentral:lncRNA from 1 species